rnacentral:rRNA from 1 species
ACUCAAAUGAAUUGACGGGGGCCCGCACAAGCGGCGGAGCAUGUGGAUUAAUUCGAUGCAACGCGAAGAACCUUACCUGGGUUUGACAUACACCAGAAAGCUGCAGAGAUGUAGCCUCCCUUGUGGCUGGUGUACAGGUGGUGCAUGGCUGUCGUCAGCUCGUGUCGUGAGAUGUUGGGUUAAGUCCCGCAACGAGCGCAACCCUUGUCUCAUGUUGCCAGCACGUAAUGGUGGGGACUCGUGAGAGACUGCCGGGGUCAACUCGGAGGAAGGUGGGGAUGACGUCAAGUCAUCAUGCCCCUUAUGUCCAGGGCUUCACACAUGCUACAAUGGACGGUACAGAGGGCUGCGAGACCGUGAGGUGGAGCGAAUCCCUUAAAGCCGUUCUCAGUUCGGAUCGGGGUCUGCAACUCGGCCCCGUGAAGUUGGAGUCGCUAGUAAUCGCAGAUCAGCAACGCUGCGGUGAAUACGUUCCCGGGCCUUGCACACACCGCCCGU